AGUGCUGUACAUGUGGAGGAGGCAGGAGUCCUUCGUGGAGGACCAGGAGGGCCUGAUCAGCAGUGGCCAACAGUCUCCAGUGCUACUACAGAACCUGAGGCAGGAGAGGUAUCCCCCCCAGUGGGAGCUGGUGUGAACAGCAACAGCUGGACCUUUAAAUUUGGACCGGGCAAUCCCAAACAAGGUGGUCCUGGUGAGUUGCCAGACAAAUUCAUUAUCCCAGGAUCUCCUGCAAUCAUCUCCAUCCGGCAGGAGCCACCAAACAGCCAAAUUGACAAAAGUGACUUCAUAACCUUUGGCAAGAAAGAAGAGACGAAGAAAAAGAAGAAAAAGAAGAAGGGAAACAAGACUCAGGAGAAAAAAGAAAAGGGCAACAGCACCACUGAGAACAGUGACCAGUAAGGGGUUUAUACUGAAAGAAGCCACUUAGCCAGUUUUUGUAAUAAUGGCAGAUUUCUCCUAUGUAGCAGCUCCCAACUUCUUCCUACUGUUAACAGAUUUCCUGUAUGUACAGACUUGAGAAAAUCAGCAGGAAAUUCACAGUGUCUGUCUAAAUUGCUUAACAGGUUUUGUCUUAAAAGCUUUAUUAAGUCUGGUGUUAACUCUUUUUCUCCACUCUGGCUUGUUUUCAGAAUCUAAAAAGCAGACACAAGUUUCCUUUCUCCUACGCCGAAAAGGAGAAUCUUCACAGUACAGCCAGUGAGAGGUUGGACUCUGCACUGUGGUUCCUGUGCUCCUGUCUUGAUGACACUUACAGGACAGGUUUAAAAGUUUUAAUGUUGUGCACCCUCUGUCUGAUUGGAAAUAUUUGUGUGCAGAUGUCAGCUAGGUGAUAUGAAAUCAGACUAUAAAAUGCAAGAAGAGCUCAUAAAUAUGCAACAGAGGAAACACCUAAUGAACACAAAUGUUCAAAGAUGUUCAGGCUGGGGAGAAAAUGUCUAAAAGGAGAUGACCAGACUUUUCAAAUUUUGAGAAGUCACUGUGUGGAAAUACUGAGUCCUAUACAUGACGUAUUGUACACACUCCUGCAAAUAAAACCUCACAUUUACAGCUCUUUAAGAUACCAUAAAUUUCAUCUCUUACCAAGCAAGCCAUUGGGAAAAUUAUCCCUUAAAGCCCUGCAUUACCCUGGCAUGGCGAGCCCUCAGAAUGUAAGAAGGGCUGGGCUGACAUCCCAGGAAUGUAACUGUGAUGCUCUGUGUCCCUAUUUCCACUCUAACAUUAUUUUGCACAUUAUGUCUCUGAAAAGGUCAGAGUUUUUCCACGACACUUAUGCAAAAGAGAGAAAAAAGAAAAGUUAACUAUGCUAUUUGUUAUUUGAGAUAUUUAUUUAUAAAGAAAUAUAGCUGUAAAUGUUAAAGAAAUAUGAUGCCCUUUAACCCAAACAGAAGUCAAUCUAGAGCCAUUAUAAAUUACAAUUGCUGCUAUUAAAGUGCUUUAGAAAAAUUGCCUGAAACAUCUGUAUUAUAUCGGCCACUUGCCAAUAACAGCUUUAUUCUGUCGGGUGACUUGGGGGCUGCCUCUUGCAUGUAUUAAUAAAUACAAGAAUAUCUUCUCUUUUUCUUUGCAUUAAUCUGCACUUUGAAUACACUUUUGCAAUCAAACUGUCCUAAUAUGAAGAAGCAGAAGCAAACUCCUCACACAAAUGGAUUUAAUAACCUGCUAGCUCUGUGCAGUACCUUGGUGUUACCUCCCACACAACCUUUUCUGAUUUUAGUUUUACUUUUCUAUGAGAUUAUGAAUUUCUGACCCUACUAACACUCAUUAUGUAAAAUUCAAGUACUGUAUGUAUGCUGUAUGCUCUUAUAAGAAUCCUGAAAUAUUUAUUCUGUGCUUGUGUAUGUGAAUGUCAAUGCAACUAUUAUUAGAGUGGACUUUAAGCUUUACUGUUGAAUGUAAAUUCAUUAUUUCUUUUUUGUACACUUGUGAAAAAGUGGAGUAGUGUUAAUUUUUUAAGCCACUGUUGAUUAUAAGUUUUUUGUGUAUGAAACACAAGUAAAAUAUCUUUCUUAAAUCAAGCCAUGCAUGCAUUUGGGGAUUUAUUGGUAAGAAUCUGUGAAGCUCUGAAUUACUAAACCUAAGGGUAUAAAUGGAGUCUUGAAUAUGGUUGAGGAUGUUGAUAUAAAACCAAUACAUGUAUUUUUAAAUAGAAUAUAACUGAUGAGGGAAUUCCAAGGAGUUUUCUACAUUAUUGUACAUUCACAGAAUAAAGCUCAAGUGUCAUAUUAAUUGGAACUGUGUAAGAAACUACAUAGCUCUGAAAUUUCUAACAGGCCCUUUAAUCUACCAUCAAAGAGAACAAUUGGAUUUCUUGAGACAUGUCGUGGAUGUUUUAAGUUUCCAAACUGCUGACAGUUCAGAAUAGGACAAUUCCUAUUGAAAUUUAAGAACCUGAAGCAAGUCUUAAAACAUCACAGAAGGUAAAGCUCUAAUAAAAGAAUUCAUAUCUCAAA